UUCUAGGGCUGCUCCGGCAGCAUAUGGAGGUUCCCAGGCUAUGGGUCUAAUCGCAGCUGUAGCCACCGGCUUACGCCAGAGCCACAGCAAUGUGGGAUCCGAGACGCGUCUGCAACCUACACCACAGCUCAUGGCAAUGCUGGAUCCUUAACCCACUGAGCAAGGCCAGGGAUCGAACCCUCAACCUCAUGGUUCCUAGUCGGAUUCAUUAACCACUGCACCAUGAUGGGAACUCCUAUAAAUAUUUUAAAUUACAUUUUUUUUAACAUGGUGAUACAAAGUAAUUAAGAUCUUGGGUUUUCUGUUAGAGUCCACCAGCUUGAGACCAAUUUCAAAUCCUAACUUUCUAGUUAUGUUAGUUAACCUCUCUAAACAUCAGUUUCCUUAUCUGUAGAAUCUUAGGUAUAAGUAAUUACUAAGAGUUAUGAUGAGUCUAUGAGUUAAUACCAACUAGCAUUUUACAUAAAGCCCAACAGCCAUAAUAAAUCAAUAAAUUAUUUACAAAAUAAAAAAAAAGUAUGGUCAUAUUUUGCCCUUUAGACAAACUAUGCCAAAAUAAAAAAAAAAAAGUGACAAGCUAUAUUUUUAAAAAAUUUCCUUUCCCUUUUUAACAUAAAUUACUGCAUACUUAAAAAUAGAAGAGAACAGGUUGUGAGAACUCUAAAUAAUCAACCAGAGUAGUUUUAUACAUUUUAGUGACUGCUCAGGAAUGUAAAAGGACACUUUGUUGGUGUCAAGAAAAAUGAAUUGUAUACACUCUCUGCUACCAUAAUAGCUGAGUGAGGUCCAUUACUGUCCUAUGAUUCAUGGAUUCUUUUAGAAAUUUAAUACUUGCUAACUGAAUACCCACUGUGUGCUGUCACUGCACAGGCUCUAAAACUAAACCAAUGAUUGUCACUUGUAAUUGUCUCCACUGAAACCCACAGUAAGAUCAUUGGUCUGGUAAAUAAGUAUCAAUUAUUUUUCAGUAUGAAUUUUUCAUUGUGGUGUCAAGUAUUUUAAAUGUGAUCUCUGAUUCCCCAAGGCACAAUUUAAGGGCACUUAAAUUGUCUUAUAGCUUUUUUCAACUUUUCUUUUCCCCACUAUAUUGUAUAGUCAUUAAGGGUGAUUUCCAGAGUUUUCGUUUUUUUUUUUUUAAUUCCUCAAAUCUAAUAUAGUAGGAACCUAACAAAUACUUAGGGUAUUCCACUGAUAUCUGCCCUUGGAAGCCAUAAGAAGAUAUAGAUUAUAUAUGUUAUUAUCUUCUGUGACUAGGGGCAUGCUAUGUUACUUCUUUACUUGAGCAAAUUAGUGGCCUACUAAUAAACUAUUACAUCUUCUGUUGUUGCAGUGGAGUGUAUCUAUAGAGAAAAGGCUUAUUGACAAUGUCUUAUUGACAUUAGAACUUAGCUGAAUUCUUGGCUCAAGCUGGGUAAUCAUCAUCAAAGUCACUUCCCUACACUAUAAUAUCUCUGUAUAAAUUUGAAAUAAUACCAUUGAAUGAUCUUAGAGAAAAAAAAAAUAGGGAUUGUGGCUAUAAAAACAAAGUGAAAUAUUAUUUGAAGGAAUUAAAAAAAUAAAGCCGGUUCAACUUGAUGCAGGAUAUCAUUCUUUUACUUUUUAAAGGAAGAAUCUAGUAAUUAGCUAGACUUUUACAUGACACUUAUAAGCACAUCUUACGCAACUCAAAAAGGAUAGGCCAGUUUUUCAGGCCUAAAAUUCCUGUUUGUUUUGCACCAACAGCAAUUCCUUUCUUUGAGUAUGGAACACUUUUAAUAUUUAAGAAUCGCUUAUAAAAUUAUGAUUACUUUGAUCCAGCAUCACUUAAUUUCUUGCAUAUUAGCGGAUUUUGCAUCAUGUUCAAAUGAGACAAAAAUAUUGAGUUUCACCAGAACAGAAAACCCAAAUAAACAAAAUAAGAAACAAAAAUGGAGAAAUCUCAAUGGAUACUACAGAAAUAUAAAAAAACAAAAACAUAAUACUAUAUGAACAAUAAUAUGCCAACAAAUUUGACAACCUAGAAGAAAUGGAAACUUUCUAGAAACACACAAACCACCAAAACUGAAUCAAGAAGAAAUAGAUAAUUUGAACAGUAUGAUCACUAGAAAUGACAUUGGAUUAUGUAAUUUAAAAAAUCCCUACAAACAAAAGCCCAGGACCAGAUGGCUUCACAGGCAAAUUCUACCAAAUAUACAAAGAACUUAUACCAAUCUUUCUUAAACUCUUCUAAAAGAAUGAAGAAGGAACACUCACAAAGAUAUUCAACGAAGCUGCCAACACCCUAAUACUAAAACCAGACAAAGAUACUACCAAAAAAAAGAAAAUUAUAAGCCAAUAUAUUUGAUGAUUAUAGGUGUAAAUAUCCUCAACAAAAUUUUAGCCAAAAAAAUCCAAUAACAUAUCAAAAAGAUAAUUCACCAAUACCAAGUGGGAUUCAUCCCAAGUUCACAAGAAUGAUUCAACAUGCACAAGUCAAUGUCAUACACCACACUAACAAAAGAAAAUUCAAAAGCCACAUGAUCAUCUCAAUAGAUGCAGAAAGAGCAUUUGACAAAAUUUAACAUCCUUUCACGAUAAAAACUCUUACCAAAGUGGAUAUAGAGGGAACGUAUCUCAACAUAAUACAAGCCCACUCUCACCAACAUAGUAUUGGAAGUCCUAGCCACAGCAAUCAGGUGAUAAAAUAAAUAAAAGUUAUCCAAAUUGGAACAGAAGUAGUAAAAUUGUCACUAUAUGCAAAUGACAUGAUACUUACUAUACGUAGAAAAUCCCAAGGACUUCACACAAAACCUACUUGAACUGCAAAUGAAUUCACAAAGUAGCAGGGAUACAAGAUUGACAUUCAGGAAUCUGUUGCAAUUCUGUAUACUAGCAAUGAAAUAUUAGAAAAGGAAUAUAAAAAAAUAAUACCUUUUGAAACUGUACGCAAAAAAUUAAAUAACUAGGAAUAAACCUGACCAAGGGGGUAAAAGACAUACACCGAGAACUAUAAAUUAUUAAUCCAGGAAAUUAAAGAGAAUUCAAAGAAAUAGAAAGAUACAGAUUUGAAGAAUUCUUAUUGUUAGAAUGGCCAUACUAUCCAAAGCAAUCUACAUAUUUAAUGUGAUCUUUAUCAAGUUACCUACAACAUUUUUCACAAAACUAGAACAAAUAAUCCAAAAUUUAUAUGGAACCAUGAAAGACCCCAGAAUUUUCAAAGCAGUUCUGAGGAGGAAAGCACACACACACACACACACCAAACAAAAAGCAGGCAGGAGGCAUAACUCUCCCAGACUUCAUACAAUAUUAUAUCCAAAGUUAAGGGUAAUCAAAACAUUAUGGUAUUGGUACAAAAACAUAAAUACAGAUCAAUGGAAGAGAAUAGAGUCCAGAAAUAAACACAGAUACCUAUAGUGAAUUAAUCUUUGAAAAAGGAUACAAGAAUAUAAAAUGGGGAAAUGACAGUCUCUUUAGCAAGUGGUCCUGGGAAAAUUGGACAGCUGCAUUGAAAUCAAUGAAACUAGAACACACCCACACACCAUGCCCAAAAACCCUCAAAAUGGCCUAAAGACUUAAACAUAAGACAUGACACCAUAAAUUCCUAGAAAAGAACGGAAAAAAAAUCUCUGACAUAAAUCAUACAAAUUUUUUCUUAGGUCAGUCUUCUAAGGCAAUAGAAAUAAAAAUAAACAAAUUGGACUUUAUCAAAUGGGACUUUAUCAAAUUUGUAAGCUCUCACAUCAAAGGAAACCAUAAAAGAAGAAAAGACAGCCUACACAAUGGGCAAAAACACCUGUAAAUGAUGCAACUGACAAGGGCUUAAUCUCCAAAAUAUACAAAUAACCUCACAUAGCUCAACAACAACAAAAACAAACAACCCAACUGAAAAAUGGGCUGAAGACCUAAAUAGACAUUUAUCCAGAGAAUACAUAUAGAUGGCCAAUAGGCACAUGAAAAGAUGCUCAAUAUCACUAAUUAUUAGAGAAGUGCAAAUUAAAACUACAAUGAAAUACCACUCAUACUGGUCAGAAUGGUCAUCAUUAAUAAGUGUACAAAUAACAAAUGCUGAAGAGGGUAUAGAGAAAAGGGAAUCCUUCCAUGCUGUUGUUAGGAAUGUUAAGUUGGUACAACCACUGUGGAAAACAGUGCAGCAGUUCCUCAGAAAACUAAAUACAGAACUACUAUAUGAUCUAGCAAUCCCAGUCCUAUGCAUAUAUCUAGAUAAAACUAUAAUUUAAAAAAAUACAUGUACACUUAUAUUCAUAGCAGCACUAUUCACAAUAGCCAAGCCAUGGAAAUAACCUAAAUGUCCAUCAAUGAUGAAUGGAUUAAGAAGAUGUGGUGCAUAUAUGCAAUGGAAUACUAUUUAGCCAUAAAAAAGAACAAAACAAUGCCAUUUGCAGCAUGGAUGAAACUGGAGAUUUUCAUACUAAGUAAAGUAAGUCAGAAAAAGACAAAUACCAUAUGAUAUCACUUAUAUGUAGAAUCUAAAAUAUGGCACAAAUGAACCUAUUAUGAAACAGAAACAGACUCACAGACAUAGAGAACAGAUUUGUGGUUACCAAGGGGGAAAUGAGAGGAAGAGGGAUGACCGGGAGUUUGGAGUUAGUAGAUGCAAACUAUUACAUUUAGAAUGGAUAAGCAAUGAGGUCUUACUGUACAACACAGGGAACUAUAUCAAGUCUCUUGGGAUAGAACAUGAUGGAAGAUAGUAUGAGAAAAAGAAUAUAUAUAUGACUGGAUCACAGUGCUGUAGAACAGAAAUUGACACAAAACUGUAAAUCAACUAUACUCUAAUAAAAAAUUUAAAAAAUAAAAAAUGAUGUAUACAUAUGUAAAACUGAGUCAAUUUCUAUACAGGGAAAAUUGGGCCAAUGUUGUAAAUCAACUAACUUUUAUAAUAAGAUAAAUAUAAAAGUAGCCAGGAACUACACCUGGGUAGACAACCAGGAGAGGCCACCUCUCAGGUUCAGUUUUUUACAUUUCAAAUAUGUUUCCUUCUUCAUUGCUAUACUUGUUCAAUAAAUUGUGUAGAUUUUUAACAUUAGCAGAUUCUCAUUAUCAUUAUCAUUGCCAUCACUAGGAAGCAACUGCUGAAGAUCUUAAUAUUAAAAUUUAUUUUCUGGAGUUCCCAUUGUGGUGCUGCAGAAACGAAUCUGACUAGGAACCAUGAGGUUGACUAUUUUUUAAGUACCUUAUAUAUGUUAGAGUUGUCAGAUAAAGCAUAGGAAAUAAAAAAUAAAAUAUGAAAGAAAGCUGAAUUUUCAAUUUCAGAUAAAUAAUGAAUAGAUUUUGUAUAAUGAUGCCUUUUACUAAUUGUUACUCAUACAAAUAUAUUUAGGAUGUUUAUCUGAAAUUCAAAUUUAACUGAGUUUUAGUUUACUUCUUUGCUAAAUCUGACAAAGCUAUAUACCACAUGAUUUACUCCUCACACAACUCAAUAUUAUUGUUCAUGUUUUUAUAGAUUUAAUGAGAUAGAGUUUGAGUAUCUAUUCUAAAGAUACUAAGAGCUGCAUGAUUUGUAGGUGUCAAAGCUAGUCUUCUAAAUCAAAGAGUUUGGCUCUAAAGCACUGUUUUUAACUUCCACUCCUAUCAUCUCUUUCAGUUAAAGAAACACUGUUUUCUAGCAAGAGGUAAGUUAUAGUCAGAUCCAACUUAAAAGGAAAGACAAAAAUUAGACAAUGACAUUCCUCAGUUUCCAGGUCUCACAGGAUAAAGGCAAAAAACUACAAGUCCAUUUAAUCAACAUUGCUGAUUUCAAGUUCUUGAUCCAGUAAAAGUUGAUUAUCAACUAAACACAACAUAAUUUACCCUGUUGUGACAGUGCACUGAGAGAGUGGCUAAUUUCAACUGAGAUUCUCCAGAACUUUCGUAUGCUUUUGCUUUUUAUCCAGCAUGACCUGUGC
rnacentral:lncRNA from 1 species